rnacentral:lncRNA from 1 species
AUUCAAGUGACAAUUCAAAUACAUUUGAAGUAUUAUUUACAAGUGUAAUGUGUCAUAAAUCAUUUUUUUUACAUUUGUAAUGAGCCUUUUUGAAAGUGUGAGAAGAUAUUUGUUUGAUAUUGCAUCAGCAAACACGCUAGCCCGGUACUGAUUGAUCCACGGCCCAAAUGUUAUGGAACAAUGCUCUAAAUUAUUACACUGUACAUUACAUCAAUAGUUCUCAAACUGUGAUAAUUGGAGAAACAUUAAAAAUAGGUUAAGCCUCCCCUAUUAUCAGUUUUAAGAUCUUCAGUUGAUCAACUCCUUAAGAUAAUAAACCCAUAAGCCUACUUCCUUUCUUUAUUAUCUAUAAAUAAUUAUGCUGAUAUUAACAAAAGUAUUAAUUCAAGUGUAUCAUCUGUACCCACCUUCUCCUCGUGCUCUCACAAAAGAACCAUCUCUAAUUAUCUAUUAUAUCAGGUUUUGAAUUUCAACAAUCAAUUUUGAAAAUGUAAAUAAAUGUAUCGUCGUUAAAUGUAAAAUAAAUCCAAAUGUAUAAAGUUUAGAAAAGAGAAUCCGAAUUUAUAGGUGAAUUAUGAUGAGCUUAUUAAUUUUUGUAUUUUAUUUUUGGGGAUUAAAACCUUUUGUAAUUAUUUUGCAUUCAUUUGAUGUAUCUUUUUUGUAAUGUAAAAAAACCAUAUUGUUAGUUUGAAUGUUAAACAUGUUUUGUUUUUUAAUAAAAAAAAUUGAUUUAUUGAAUGUA